GUUCAUUUCUUCACUUGGGUAGCACAUAUACUUAAGGUGGAAUGAUAGAGAGAUUAGCAUGAUUCCCGAUCAAGGAUGACAUUCAAAUUCACGAAGCAGUCCAUGUUUUU
rfam:Mesocricetus auratus contig031260, whole genome shotgun sequence.